rnacentral:rRNA from 1 species
UACGGAGGGGGCGAGCGUUAUUCGGAAUUAUUGGGCGUAAAGGGCGCGUAGGCGGCUUGAUGUGUCAAAGGUGAAAUCCCUCGGCUCAACUGAGGAACUGCCUUUGAAACUGUCUGGCUUGAGGCCGGGAGAGGGUAGCGGAAUUCCCAGUGUAGCGGUGAAAUGCGUAGAUAUUGGGAGGAACACCAGUGGCGAAGGCGGCUCACUGGACCGGUACUGACGCUGAUGCGCGAAAGCGUGGGGAGCAAACGGG